CUGGAACAUAAACAAACAUAAGAUGCUGAAGUGUGGAGAGAGAAAGGCAGAUCAGCUGAGGACCUUGGUGCCUGAGGAAUGAUACUGAGGCAAACUCCCUGCUUCAUGUGUCCCAUCCUGCAUGCUAGAGAAGCUGGCAACCUGGAAGCACCAGUGGGCACAGACAGAAAAACCCCAAGAAAGCUGGUUUUCUUUAGCGAAACCAGGAGAAGGGCAACCUAGGAAGACAAACUAGACAGUAACUGCCCUGCUGCAGCCAAAAACCAUGGAAAAACUACACUCUGUCCCCACUUUCUCCAGCAGAGGCUGAGCGUGGGCUUAGACUUCCCCCUGGCCCAGCUUUCACUAGGAAACCCUCUUGUAUCUCCUCCCCCACUUUCCUACUGGGGCCGUAACAGAGCAGGUGAAGGCCUGGGCAGUUGGUAGAUGUCCUUUCCCACGGGGCAGGAAUGAAGCAUCCGUCCCCAUGGUUAUCAGUGGAGGCUUGUGGGGAGCCCUCGUGUAGAUCUUGCCCAGUUCUUAUGUCCAUCCAUAGGAAUGUUAUCUUUUUAGGUGGCUUUAUAAAUAAAACUUUUAUUCACUUAUAAUUUCUACAGAGUGAUUGCACGUAUGUUGGGAAAGCUCUGAUUUCUGUAUACCACUACCACCUCUCGUUUAUGGUAGUUUCUCCGUUGGUUUUCUUUGGCUAUGAAGGCAUGUAGUCUUACAAUAUACAACUAGUGAUACAUUUGCUUCUUUUCCAUUUGUAUACCACUAACUUAUUUCUCAUAAUUGUGUGGCUUGCCUAGUGCUUCCUAAUCAUUUCACAUCAGGACAGUAUUGAAAAUUAUAUUUUUAGUGUAUAUUAACAUAAAUGGGGAAUGCUCUGUGAGGCCAGGGGGGACCAGCCCAGGAUCUAACUACUCCGCUGUUCUACCUGAUUGAUCUGAGCUGGGUUGAGAAGAAGCCCUAUGCCUCUCUAAAACAAUGCUUUAAAAAAAAUCAUGAACUUGCUUAUUUUGUUCCUGAACGUUAGUGGGAAUACUUCUCUCGUGUUUCUCAUUAGUUAUGCUGGUUUGGGGAUCGAAGUAGAUAUAUUUUAGUUUAUUAAGGAGGUGUCCAGGUACUUCUCUCUUUUAUCAACAGAUUUUAGUCCACAAUGGUUAUUGAAUUAACAAAUAUUUCUUAAGCAUUGCUGCUGUAUGCCAGGCUUUGGAACUACAACAGUGAAUAAGUUACUCUCUCUGGAAAUGGAGAAAACGUUCUAUUUGUCCAAUUCUGAAAAGGAACGUUACGAAAAGGAAUUCAGCCAAGAAAGACAACAAGAAAUUUUGAGAAGAGCGGCAAGGGACUUACCUAUCUACACCACAUCAGCUUCAAGGACCAUCAGAUAUUGUGAAAGAUGUCAGUUGAUUAAACCUGACCGGGCACAUCACUGCUCAGCAUGUGACAUAUGUAUUCUUAAGAUGGAUCAUCACUGUCCUUGGGUGAAUAACUGUGUGGGAUUUUCUAAUUACAAAUUCUUCCUGCUGUUUUUAUUGUAUUCCUUGUUAUAUUGCCUUUUUGUGGCUACAACAGUUUUACAGUACUUUAUAAAAUUUUGGACGAAUGAACUCUCUGAUACACGUGCAAAGUUCCACGUACUUUUUCUUUUCUUUGUGUCUACAAUGUUCUUCAUCAGCGUCCUGUCACUUUUCAGCUACCACUGCUGGCUGGUUGGAAGAAACAGAACAACAAUAGAAUCAUUCCGCUCACCCACAUUUUCAUAUGGACCUGAUGGAAAUGGUUUUUCUCUUGGAUGCAGUAAAAAUUGGAGACAAGUCUUUGGCGAUGAAAAGAAAUACUGGCUACUUCCAAUAUUUUCAAGCUUGGGUGAUGGUUGCAGUUUUCCAACUCGCCUUGUGGGGAUGGAUCCAGAACAAGCUCCUGUUACAAAUCAAAAUGAAUAUGCUAGAAGUAUUGGCUCAAGUCAACCCUUUCCUAUCAAACCACUUAGUGAAUCAAAAAACCGAUUGUUGGACAGUGAAUCUCAGUGGACAGAGAAUGAAUCUGAGGAAGGCACUGUCAGAUCAGGUUUUUAUGAAUGUUUUAACAGCUCUGUGAAGUUAGCCUCAUUUUCUUGAACCCCUGCAUAUCCGUGCCUUCCAUUUGAUAAAGAGGAUUUAAGGUUCCUUAACUCCCCUCCUGCUGUUCUUCGGCAAGAAUGUCACCACCUGUCAGCCCAUUCUCCAUACAAGAGACCACGAUGAAGGCGUUUGAAGAAGAGGCCACGUGUAGCUAUUUUCAUCAGAACGAAAGUGUCUCCACUGGAACGAUCUUGAAGACAUUACGUGAAAUAAUCAAAUCGCAGCCCUCUGCCCACAUGGUGAGAUCCCACCUAGAGGCUUCAAAGUACCUGUUGUGUACCUGUGGGUUCAAACUCCGCCUACUUGUGGAGCACCUGCUCCAGAGGAUGGGUGAGUGCUGGGACCAGGGGGAGUCCGGGGCUGACUCCGGUGGGGUCGCAGCUGCCCCUGCCCUCUGGCUGCCGCCGGAGACAUACAGGGACCCCAGGACCCACACGCUGGAACGGCAGGGGAAGCUCCCAGGCCCGAAUCUGCCGGGGUGCCGGCAGGCAGAGCGGGCCCAGGACGUCAGCGGGCCCCGGGCGUUCUCCGUGCCAGGCGUGAACAGUACCUCAUGUGGCUGCCCGGAAGGGACGACCGCCUGUUGGGAAGGUUUGCCAACGACAAACCUGUGUAUACAGGGUGGACAAGCUGCGGUGACACUUUGCUCAGCCUUUUACAAUAAACCUCAAGCCCCUGUUUGCAAUCUGUAGCCUUUCUCGAUGCAGAGAAGCUGUCGACGUAUGCUGAAAGUCCAGUUAGAAAAACGACUUGUUUUGCGAUCGUCUUUCUGUUGAAAUUCACUCAAGAGACGCAUCAUCCGGAAACGACUUGCGGAAAUGCAAUCUCUGCAUCGCUUCUUGGAUUCAGGUCCACGCUUGUUUCCAGAGUUCGAGGGAAGGAGAGAAGACAGUGAGGGAUGGGGAAGGGUUUCCCCAGAAUGUGUUGGAACUGUUGUCCAUAUGUGCAUGGUUUUCCAACGUCCUGCACGUAGUGUAUAUAGUGAUUAAACUUAAGUCCUUAUUUAAAAUAUGUAGCUUUUCUACGUGCUUAGGUGUGCUUGUCAUAUGUUACAUAUGAUAUACAACAAUAGGGAGAAUAUUUCAAUAGUCUUAGAUUGUCUUUCUAAUAGAAACAGUGAAUCACUCUGAGAAAUAAUUUAUAGACAUUCGCCAAGUGGGUGGAGGAGAGUGAGGAGGGAAUUAUGCACGUUUACUGUAGUGUCGCUUAUAUGUGGUGUAUAUAGCAGAAAAGGGCGUGCUGUAAUAUCAUAUAACAAAUAGGGAGCUAAUAAAUACUUUCGUAUACUUUCUUGGUUAAGUUUGUAAGAAAGACUUUUAAACAUUACUUUUAGAAGUGAAAUUCUUCAUCUACCCCUGAAGUACAACAUGCCUGUAUUUUGUCCUUGAGAUAGGCUGUGAAAACAAAGAAGUAAGGAAAGAAUUUGCCAGAAUGUUCCUAUUUAGGCGACACUUUCAGAUUGUAGCCGGCCCUCUCCUUGUGCCCUUUAUUCCAAACGGCUGUGUGCAGAGUGAACACUGUGGGUCCGUAUUUUAACAUCUGGUCUUUCCAGACACUUUGAAGUGAAGAUGUGUGUUACAAAUAGUAAACUAAUGUGGUUUUUCAUACUUUUUUUUUCUUGGUUGUUAAAUUCAAAACCUAAGGACCUGUGAUGGGGUUUACAAAAGAGGACUGUCUUCUGGAACUGAUGUGGUUGGUCCAUCUCUGUGUAUCACAUUUGUGACUCUUUACUGGAAAAGUGACAGAAGAAUGUAUGAAAGGAAAGGUCCGCUGCCAGUCUGUUCACUUCUGGGAAACACUCCAAAUCAUACUUCGUUCCAUAUGUGUGAGGGGUUUUUGGUGGUCUGGGGCUUGUUUUGUUUUUUGUUUGUUUGUUUGUUUCGGUUGUUAAAUGAUCCUUUAUUGAAAUACUUUUCCUUUGUAGUUGUUAACUAGCGGGCAUUCGGCUGCACCUCCAUUGAUGUCGUCAAUGAUGUCACGAGGGUGGUGGCCAUCAACAUUGCAGCCCACAUACUGGGCAGUCCCCAGGAUCUGUGUCAGGCUCCAGAGAGUUCUCUGGCUGAAGAUCAGUACCACAUCCGUCAGGCAGUGUUGAGUCUCAUCAAAAGUGGUAUUUCCACUGCGCUCAGUGUUUUUCUGCUUCUCUCUCUUGGCGGUUCCUUGAGGGCUCUGAUAAUCAGGGCAGAGGCGGAAGGUACCAGUUCAGUCUGGACCUGUCAUACCGAUGAAUGGUCAGUUUUACUGUUAUCCUCAGACCCUUCUUGUCACUCAUUGCCUUGGUGGUGUAAUCACCAACCUUUCUGGAGACUGACCCAAGAGGCCGAUGUUAGGAGCCAGGGCAGAGGUGGCACGACUUUGAUCUCCUUGGGGUUGAACUUAGGCAGCAUGGAGGAGGUGGCUGGUGUUGGAUGAACCCAGAUUCAGGAAGACUGAAGAGAAUUGUUCCUUGGCCUCCUGUGAGCCAGAAGGUCCACAUAUGUGUGUUUUCUUUAACAUGCCUUUGAAGUGGGUGAAAUUACAUUUCUUGUUUUGAAACACCGAGUGGAAUAACAUUUUUAAAAUAUCUUUCUGUUUAGUUUUAUGUAGAAUUGGAGACAUAUUUUAUAGGUGGAAUUGUUAAACCACCUUUUUUUAAAAAAUGUUUAUUUAUUUAUUUUGGAGGGGGGCAGAGAAAGAGAGAGAGGGAGACAGAAUCCAAAGCAGGCUCAGACCUGUCAGUGCAGAGCCCUACACGGGACUCGAACCCCGAACCAUGAGAUCAUGACCUGAGCCAAAGUCAGACACUCAAUGGACUGAGCCACCCAGGCGCCCCAAACCCCAAACCACUGAGCCACCGGGCCCACCCAAACUACUCUUUGAGAAGUAUCCAUUCAGUACUUAUUCAUUGGUUUGUGAGUGAGAGAAAAGGCAGUACAAGGUUAGGGUUCUACAGAUGUGUUUAUAUUUAGAUUAAGGCUGCAGAUCAAUGGAUGUCAGUCAGCAUUUUAUGUAACUAUAUAGAUACAUUGUUAAGCGAUUAAAUGGAAAACAGGCUUUCUUGCUAAUACUCUAGUAGUAUGUAGAUCAAAUAAUGAUUAGUCUUAGAAGCAUUCAGUUAUAUAUUCUGUGCUUUGUUGCUUAGUGCUGUAUUUUACACUGAUUAUUAAGAGAAAAGGGGCCCUUCUAAUUGAAAUAUUUACAGAGGCCUGAUGUUCUUUCCUGCUUCUAAGAUGAAACAUAUUUUUCUCCUAGCAAAGACUAAACUGCCUUUCUUUAUGGUCUGAGUUGGAGGUGUUAACUCAUAUUGAUAAAAUAGUAAUGCUUUCAGACUCUGACACAGGACAUUAUUCACAAUACAUGAAAAUGUAAGAUGCAAAACCAUGUGUAUGACCCCCAGUCAUAGACAAAGUGUGUGUGCCUGGGUACUGGGCUCUGAUUUUGUGAUUAUAAGCGAGUUUGUUCGUUAUCGAAUUAUUUUUUAGUUCUCUGUGAUGGGCACAUAUUACUUUUAAACUUGAGGAGAAAAACAUACAUAAAAGCAUUGAAGGAGAAUGGAAGGAAGCACCAAGACGGUUGGAAAAGGGGGAGGAGUAAGUAGGGUGGCCGUGAAGGGAUCGUUCAUGUUUUGCUUCGUAUGUUAUAUACUACCUGAAUUUUUCAGUCAUCAUAGGAAUCAGCUCAGUGAAAUUCCUGUGGCAUCAAAAUAAAUACAAAGUAACAUCUGCUUCUUGGAAAUUUCAACAAACAGAAGUUGUCAGCAUAAACAAAGAUACAGUCAACAAAACCAUCCUUGACUGUAGAGAUAAAGCUCCCCGGCUGCAAUCAGACUCGUGUGUCAUGAAGCUUUUUUUUUUUUUUUUUAAUUCUUUUAAAUGUUUUUUUAUUUAUUAUCAAGAGACAGAGAGACAGAGCAUGGGAGCGACAGAGAGAGGGGGAGACACAGAAUCGGAAAGCAGGCUCCAGGCUGUGAGCUGUCAGCACAGAGCCCGACGUGGAGCUUGAACCCACGAACCGCAAGAUCAUGACCUGAGCCGAAGUUGGACGCUUAACCGACUGAGCCACCCGGGCCCCCCCACCCACGUAUGUCACGAAGCUUGUGGGAUUUGCGCUGACACCGUAAAUGACUCUCUUGGUUUCAGUUAGGAAUAAUUUAUUGAACAUAGUAGAAGAGUGAUUUAGAAUUGUGGCUAGAAAUAAAGUCAGUGUGAAAUAAUACAUACGGUCUUUAUUGUGCUGCUCAUAUAGAUCACUCAGUGGGCAAAUUACUCACGUUCAAGUUAAGGUAUAAGGAAGGAACACAAAUGGAUGGAACAGAAAGUCUUCCAUUUUUAACAACUUUUUAAAAGAAAAAGGGCAGCAGAUAAGUAAGAAUAAUAAUAUGAGGAAUCGUUGCUUUGGAGUUUCUGGCUUCUGGUAUGAGAAAAUGUGAAUUUCCUUAAUAGGUUAAUGAGAAAAGAUUCUUUGGGGUGAAUAGUUUGGUUUUGAACAUUUUAUUUUUUUUUUUAAUGUUUAUAUAUUUUGAAAGAGACAGACAGCGUGAGCACGUGAGCCGGGGAGGGACAGAGAGGAGAAUCCCAAGCAGAAUCCCAGUCUGCACUGACAGUGUAGACAGAGCCCAGUGCGGUGCUCGAUCCCUUGAACCGUGAGAUCAUGGCCUGAGCCGAAAUCAAGAGUUGGACGCUUAAACAACUGAGCCACUCAGGCGCCCCUGGUUUUGAACAUUUUAACUUGGAGAUAACAUCUCAGUAAAGAUGUGAAAUAAUGGGAUAUUUUAAUCUGGAGCUUAGAAGAGAUAUCUAGAUAGGAAAUACAAAUUUUGUGCAUCAGAUCUAUAGAUAGGAAACGAUUACAGUAAUGGUAAGUGUAUAGAUAAGUUUGUAAAAUUAUAUUUUAUUAUCUUCUCUAAAAGAUGUGCUUGUUUAGGAGCGCCCAGGGGGCUCAGUCGGGUAAGCAUCCAAUUCUUGGUUUUGGCUUGGGUCAUGAUCUCGCAGUUCAUGAGUUCGAGCCCCGCUUGGGGCUCUGUGCUGAUGGUGUGAGCCUGCUUGGGAUUCUCUCCUUCUCUCUCUGCCCCUGCCUCACUUGCAUUCUCUCUCUCUCUUUCAAAAUAAACUAAACUUAAAAAUUUCUAAGAGGUGCUUGUUUGAAACAAAGUAUAGUGCUAUAUUGUGAGAUUUGUAACAUAGUAAAAGCACAAAAGAUGGGUUGGUAAAUGGAACUAUACAAUUGUAGUGAAAAUAGUAUAAUAUUAACUCUAAAUAGACUGAUAAGUUAAAGAGGUAUUUCAUAAUUCCUGGAGAAACCGCUAAAAAAUACUGCAGAGAGGUAUAGUCAAAAAGUGAACAAAGGAGUCAAAAUGGAAUAAUAAGAAAUGUUAGCCCCAAAGAAGUCAAGAGGGGAACUGAGACACACACACACACACA